rnacentral:rRNA from 1 species
CCUACGGGAGGCUGCAGUAGGGAAUAUUGCUCAAUGGGGGAAACCCUGAAGCAGCAACGCCGCGUGGAGGAUGAAGGUUUUCGGAUUGUAAACUCCUUUUUUUAGAGAAGAUAAUGACGGUAUCUGACGAAUACUCCCCGGCUAACUCCGUGCCAGCAGCCGCGGUAAUACGGAGGGUGCAAGCGUUAUUCGGAAUCACUGGGCGUAAAGCGCGCGUAGGCGGGUUAGCAAGUCAGAUGUGAAAUCCUAGGGCUUAACCAUAGACUUGCAUUUGAAACUGUUAUUCUAGAGUAUGGGAGAGGUAGGUGGAAUUCUUGGUGUAGGGGUAAAAUCCGUAGAGAUCAAGAGGAAUACUGAUUGCGAAGGCGACCUGCUAGAACAUAACUGACGCUGAUGCGCGAAAGCGUGGGGAGCAAACAGGAUUAGAUACCCGAGUAGUC